AGGACGAACGCUGGCGGCGUGCUUAACACAUGCAAGUCGAGCGAGGCCCUUCCUUCGGGAAGGUGCCCUAGCGGCGAACGGGUGAGUAACACGUGGGCAACCUGCCCCUAGCACUGGGAUAACUCCGGGAAACCGGGGCUAAUACCGGAUAUUACCUUCUUGGGCAUCCUCGAAGGUGUAAAGGAUUCUGGCUAGGGAUGGGCCCGCGGCCUAUCAGCUUGUUGGUGGGGUAACAGCCUACCAAGGCGACGACGGGUAGCCGGCCUGAGAGGGUGACCGGCCACACUGGGACUGAGACACGGCCCAGACUCCUACGGGAGGCAGCAGUGGGGAAUCUUGCACAAUGGGCGAAAGCCUGAUGCAGCGACGCCGCGUGAGGGAUGACUGCCUUCGGGUUGUAAACCGCUUUCAGCAGGGACGAAAUUGACGGUAUCUGCAGAAGAGGCCCGGCAACUACGCGCCAGCAGCCGC
rnacentral:rRNA from 1 species